AAAGCAGGGGCUCUGCAGACGCAACAGAUGCAUCAUGGGCUGCAUCACAGCCUCUCGCUGUGGGUAACUCUCCGCUGGCCACAGAAACACCACAGGACGUGUCCGAGGGUUGCAAUGUAAACCUGUGAUCAUCCGCACCCAGCUCACAGCAAAGCAGGUGCCGGGAGGAGAGGUCUCCAGAAGAUGUGGGGGCAGGCGGGAUGGGCCAUGGUGUGUCCUCGUGUCCCUGCCCUCCUGCUGCUGGUGCUCGGUACUGGUGUGAGCACCCAGGACAUCUGCGGCUCCACAGCUAAUGGUACUCUCGAGGCUCCAGUCCUGUUCCUUAACACUUCCAGAGCUCAGGAAGGAGAAAUUGUUCUGGCUCAGUGUGUCCUUCGGAGGAUGGUUCCUGCUACCCGAAUUGUCUUCUGCAAGGAUGGAAUCGAAGAGUACAUCGUGAAAGCCCAAGAGGGCAAGGUUAUCUACUCGAUGCUGCUGAACAUCUCUGCAAGAAGCAGUGGGAUUUACACAUGUGGGUACCAGCACAGGAAUGUGAGCAAUGUGCUGUGGAGCUCUGCCCUCAGUGCUUCCCAGGACCUGAAGGUCACAGGCCGUGUGUCCAGCUCCACAAAAGGGACAGCACCCGCAGGUGAGGGUCUCCCCUUUAUUCCUGCUGACCCCAUCCCUUCCCGUUCUCCCCAUCCCUCACCUCUGUCCCCAUCCCAUUAUAACGUCCCCAUCACUCCUCAAUGUCUGCAUGACUCCCCUCAGUCCCCAUCACGUACCAAAGCCCCAUUCCCUCUCCUUCGUCCCCAUCUAUCCAAUUUGUCUCCAGACCCAUGCACUCCGUUGGGCCCCACAUGCAUCGCAGUGGCAUCUGUGGCAGUCACCCUCCUCCUGCCUACAGUCACCUACUGGAUCAUCAAGAAAGGUAACAAAUUGUGGGAACUGUGAAGGAUCCACGAGGCUGUCACAAACCUGAUGUGGGACAAUUCUUCUUGCAGGUGCCUGCAGGGAGAGAUGCCGAAGGUGAGCAGUAAGGGGCUGGGCUGAGCAGGGG
rnacentral:lncRNA from 1 species